UACCUCAGGCCCAAGAACUCAACACCACCUGGACACCGGACACUUGCAGUAACGAAGCCCAGCAUCGUCUCCUUUGAUCCUUCCUCUGAACAAAGGCUCGCUGUUUCAGCACCUGAAGUGUUCUCCUUGGAACCCCCCUCCUCUCAGUGCCCAUUGGAUCAUGUGACCAGCCUGAAGCUGCAGCCCACUAGGUGCAAUGGUGGUGGCGACCUGGAGCUGGAUGCGUUUGAGGUAGUUCGCCUGGAGUCAGAGCUGGUGGCAGAGCGGCUGCUCCUUGAAGACUUGACCCAUGCGAAUAAGAGCUUGAAAGAUGACCUGGGCACAGCUAAGAAAAA